CUUAAAGGAAUUGACGGGGAGCACCUACACGGGUGGAGCUUGCGGUUUAAUUGGUAUUCAACGCCGGAAAUCUUACCGGGACCGACAGCAAUAUGAAGGCCAGGCUGAAGACUUUGCCGGAUUAGCUGAGAGGUGGUGCAUGGCCGUCGUCAGUUCGUACUGUGAAGCAUCCUGUUAAGUCAGGCAACGAGCGAGACCCACGCCCACAGUUGCCAGCGUACUCUCCGGAGUGACGGGUACACUGUGGGGACCGCCGCUGCUAAAGCGGAGGAAGGAAUGGGCAACGGUAGGUCAGUAUGCCCCGAAUAUCCCGGGCUACACGCGAGCUACAAUGGUUGGUACAAUGGGUAUCUACCCCGAAAGGGGACGGGAAUCUCCUAAAACCAAUCUUAGUUCGGAUUGAGGGCUGCAGCUCGCCCUCAUGAAGCUGGAAUCCGUAGUAAUCGCGUUUCAACAGAACGCGGUGAAUACGUCCCUGCUCCUU
rnacentral:rRNA from 1 species